CCAUUCCCUGACCAGUUCUGGGCAGCUGCCUCGCCUUUGCAAACUAGACUUGGGAACGAAUGAAAUCUUAUCUCCCAGUACCACCACCCCUACUAAGAAGGAAGCAAGCUCCACCCAAGGGCUUUGCAGAGCCUUCUCCCAAUCUGCAGUUGCAGACAUCCCCCCCCUACCCCCACCCCCGCCGUGUACUUCCUGGGUACUGCAGCAUCCAUCAGAGACCAGGGAAUCACACUGGCCCCUUAGCUCUGCUUCCUUUCCCCAAAGGGCCAUGGUGAAACCUGUGCUGGCCCUGUUACCUGUCCUGGGCCUGACCUGGCUGUUUGGCCUUCCUGGUACACAUUAGCCCAAUCUGGGCCUACGCUGCUGUGUUUCUCAAUUCCUUCCAGGUAUUUUUAGGCCCUGAACACAUAGAAUGGGGGCUCUGGAACAUUGGAACUCAGAGAGGAUGUGUGGUUUGCCAAGACUAAGCAGGAGGAUUUACAGACCUGUUGGGAACCAAGACGGGAACAGAUGGUACCAGCCUCAGGAGUAGAUGCCAAGACAGUGAGGGUCCCAAGGAGUGGUUCCUGUCACUGCUAUCCUGACCCUUUUGUCCACACCAGCUCGCCCUAUCCCCACCCUCUCAGAGC
rnacentral:lncRNA from 1 species